UACGUAGGGUGCGAGCGUUGUCCGGAAUCAUUGGGCGUAAAGGGCUCGUAGGCGGCUGCUCAAGUCGAAUGUGAAAACUCGAGGCUCAACCUCGAGCCUGCAUUCGAUACUGGGCGGCUAGAGUCUGGUAGGGGGAUCUGGAAUUCCUGGUGUAGCGGUGGAAUGCGCAGAUAUCAGGAGGAACACCGGUGGCGAAGGCGGGAUCCUGGGCCAGUACUGACGCUGAUGAGCGAAAGCGUGGGGAGCAAACAGG
rnacentral:rRNA from 1 species